GUGUAAGUUGAUGAAAUAAAAAAUGAAUGUUGCAUUAAAGAAAAUCAACAAAGCUUACAUUUGGCUUUCCAAAGAGACUAAUAAAACUGAUAAAACGUUAGCAAGAUAGAUGGGAUGGGGUAAGGCGAAUCACAAAUCACCAAUGUUGGGAGUUUUAAAAUAAUGAGCACCACCACUGUGGAAUUAGAGACAUUAAAAAAAGUCUAUUUAGAGAAUAAUGUGAACAAAAAUAAUUCUGAUAAUAUAGAUAAAAUAGAUAACUCAUCAAAACACGUUUUAAGAAAAGAAGAAAUAAAUACAAACUGCCCAAUGGAAUUGAACUUAGAAUUUUAACGAUCUUUCUACAGAGAAGUUGGCUUAGAUGACUUCAUAGGCGGUGUCUCCCCAGCAUGUAAGGAAGAAGCCCCCAGCUAUAUACAAAGCUUCUUACAGGGCUUUUCUGAGGUGGCCUGGCCUUGACUCUCAAAUCUGACAAGGAUAUUCCUGAAAGAAAACUCAAGGGCAAUGUCUGUCCUGCAUGUGGAAGCAGCGUCUAAAACCCAGCAGCCAGUGAGAUCCGGGGCUCAAGUCAAGAUGCAGGAUCAGAGUGGCUUAAUCCAGUUAUGCAAGGCUGGCUUAACAUUUGAAAAUCAAUCAACAGAACUCACCACAUCAACAGAGCAAGAAAAAACAUAUAAUCAACUCAAAAGAUGCAGAAAAGCACUUGAUAAAGUUCAAGGCCCUAGUCCUAAUUAAAAACACAACUCCUAGCAAAGUAGAAAACACAAUUAAAAAAAAAAAAGAACAAAAAUGAAAAUUGAAACAAACAAAAAAUCCUAAACACUGAGCACACAUCAAGUCAUGGAGAAAUCACUUUGUUCCUGAGAUGGUGUGUCCCAUAUUUUCUAACAGAGAUUGUAAAGUCCCAGCUUGUGCAUUAAGAUGAGAAAAGGAGAGAGAAGAUGGAAGGAUUGGGCUGCCAAAAGGGUUCAAUGGCUAAAAAGGCUUGCCUCCAAGCCUGGUGACCUCAGAACCCAUAUGUUGGGAGAAGAAACCGAUUCCAACAGGUUGUCUUCUGACGUCCUCAUUCAUACUGUGGUAGGCACUUCCUACCCCUGCCCCCCACAAAUAUAAUAUAAUUAAAAGUUAAAGUAAAGCACUUGGGAGGCAGAGCAGGUAUAUCUCUGCUAGUUCAAGGACAGCCAGGGCUAGAGAGAUCUUAUCUGAAAAAUAAAACAAAUCAAAAAUAAAACCAAAACGAAAUAAAACCCCCACCAAACAAACCAACAAACUAUUAAGAAAUGAAUUUAGGAGAACCCUGACCUUGCUGGGAUUGGACAUAGUAGCUCAUGUAUGUAAUCCCAGAAAUCUGAAGGCCAAAAAAUGAGGAUUGGAAGAUGGAGCAAGCCUGGUUUUACUAAAGGUUGAAAGCUAAUAAUCCAUUAUCGUUCUAUCUGCUAGCAAUAAGUAAUUAGACCACAAAAUAAAGACACUAACUGUAAUAGUGUCAAAGCUAAUAGAGCUAUUUAAAUUGUUAGCAGGUGAGACUUAUAGGCAGACAAGCACUGGAUAGUGAGAAGCGGAUGCUGACUUGAACUCAUGGAGGUUAUAACACAUUCUUAUCUUGGGGCUGGAGAGACGGCUCCUUGAUAAAGGGCACUGGUUUGCUCUUCCAGAGGAUCUGGGUUUGACUCUUCCCUAUUUCUCUGUGUAGCACUGGAACUUUCCCUGUAGAGCAGGCUGGCCUGGAACUUACAGAGAUCCACCUACCUCUCUCUGCCUUCUGAGUGCUGGGAUUAUAGGCAUGCCCCACCACUGCCUGGCCUGGGUUUAAUUCUUAGCAUCCACAUGGCAGUUCACAACCAUCUGUAAAUCCAGUCCCAGGGGCUCUGAAGCCUUCCUCUGAUUUCAAGGGCACUGCAUGUACAUGGUGCACAGACAUGCAUGCAUAUAUAUACUCAUACAUAUUUAAAAAAAAUUUAAAAACCUGUGUGGUGGUUUGAAUAUGCCUGGGACAGGGAGUGGCACUAUUAGGAGGUGUGGGACCUCCUAACAGUGAAGAACUGGAGAAAGGCUAACAGCAAAAAGUUUAGGUGUCUUAUCAAGGUCCUUCCUCAGGGGAGCUUCAUUCAAGGGGUUCUGAGUCUGCAAACUGGCUCAAGUCUGGAAAUUGAUUCACUGGCCAAGAUUGCCUUUUGCCAUGAUCCAAUGUAGCCUUUCUUCCAUUUGUUUGAGAUUUGUUUUUUCUUCAUAUACAGAUCAAACAGAAAUGUAGUAGGCUUCCUAUCUAUUUCAUGCCUGGAAACACCAUGAUUGAUUAGUCAGUACCAAAGGUCCGUACAAGUCAUGUCAUUAUUAAAAUUCACAUCUCCUGUGCUGACCAUUACGGGUUAGGUCAUUGUGAACCUUAUUUUGUCUAUACUUUCCAUUAUAAUAACUACGAUCAACUUGCCUCUGGCGAUAUAAUGCUGCCAUCUGGCCCUUGCUACCUCAGGGCCCAAUUAAACCCAUUGCAUUUAAUCCAUCCAAUUGAGCAGCAGCAUCUCCAACCCUAAGGUCUGGCACAAGGAAAAGGGCAAGAACAAAAUUCUUCAAAUGUGCUGCUGCCUUCUCACCAGUUUGCGUCUUAUAGGAUUUGUGAAGGGCAUAUCUUCUGAGCCUUCCCAUUGUGGAGGAUUAGGUUUUAUACAACGUAUCCACUCUAGCAUUGCAAUUUCCCUGAGCCUUAAAAUCCCUUGUCAACACUAAGCCAAGGGAUAUCAGGCAUCUUCAACUCCUUUUCAGUAGGCCAUCUUUCGAUAAACACUUCAACAAACCAUUCAAACAAACUUUUGACACAUCCACAGCAUAAAGAAAAAUACUGGUAAAGCCUGUGCAUUAAGGCUGGCAGGGCAAUGGGGUGGAGCAAGACCUUAGGCGUUAUAAACAUAUAUGUGACCAUUGGCUUUAUCGUCGAAGCUGUUUCCAUCGGGAACCAAUGUUCUCAGUAAAUGUGCUUAGACACCAUAAGAAGAGACAGACACUGAUUCCUCCCUCACCACAGCUGCAAAGCUAGCCUGUCAGGCCUUGAACAGGAAGCUGCCGAGAUCAGGGUGUGAAAGGCCAUAGAGUGUCUGCAUAGCCUUGGGCUAGGUAAAGGUUUCCUUAUGGACUCCUGGGAACAUGAGCCAUCGGAGAAAAAUUCCAGUAACGCUGGACUGACAAACUGGAGGCUGCCUGAAACCCUUCAUUCCAGGCCUGGCUUGAGGAGAUAUGACUCUGACCUUUUUCCACCACUCUCCAAAGGCCUGAAAGUGGGUGAAAAGUGGGAUUCCAUGAGUAUCUCACUGGGAAGGGUCCUUCCUCAACUGUGAUUGUAGAUUGUAGUCUUGAGAACCUCCAGUUUUGGCUGUGGUAGCCACCAGCCUGAAUCUUGUAUUUCCAUCCCUUGGUUUCUGUUUUCAUACACACACACACACACACACACAAAUAUAUUUUAAAUCAUAUAUCUUUUAAGUUAGGUGAUUCAACAAC
rnacentral:lncRNA from 1 species